GCAGUCACCUGUGCAGACACACCCCUACACCCGUGCACAGACACCUGUGCAGACACAACCCUACACCCGUGCAGACACAUCCCAACAUCCAUGCACAGACGCACCCCAACACCUGUGCACAGACACACCCUCACGCCCGUGUACACCCCCAACCCCACAUAACCGGCCCUCUCAUAACCCUACACCAUGCAUCACACCCAAACCCCAUGACCAACACCCACCACAGGCAGCAGUGUGGUGGGUCAGGCCCCACUGGGCCACGGUGCGGCUUCUCCUGCCCUUUUCACCUCUGCCCCCUACCUGGGC
rnacentral:lncRNA from 1 species